GACGUAGGGUCCAAGCGUUGUCCGGAUUUACUGGGCGUAAAGAGCGCGUAGGCGGUCUGUUAAGUGUGAAGUGAAAUCUCCAGGGCUCAACCCGGAAACUGCUUCGCAUACUGGCAGACUUGAGGAAUGCAGAGGUUUGUGGAAUUCCCGGUGUAACGUGAAAUGUGGUUGAUAUCGGGAGGAACACCCAUGGCGAAGGCAGCAAACUGGGCAUUAUCUGACGCUGAGGCGCGAAAGCGUGGGGAGCGAACAGG
rnacentral:rRNA from 1 species